rnacentral:tRNA from 1 species
GCCGUUAGGGUGAAUGGG